rnacentral:rRNA from 1 species
GACGAACGCUGGCGGCGUGCUUAACACAUGCAAGUCGAACGGAAAGGCCUUUUCGGAGGUACUCGAGUGGCGCACGGGUGAGUAACACGUGGGUGAUCUGCCCUGCACUCUGGGAUAAGCCUGGGAAACUGGGUCUAAUACCGGAUAGGACCGCACUUUAGUGUGUGUGGUGGAAAGUUUUUUCGGUGUAGGAUGAGCCCGCGGCCUAUCAGCUUGUUGGUGGGGUAAUGGCCUACCAAGGCGGCGACGGGUAGCCGGACUGAGGGGUUGGUCGGCCACAUUGGGACUGAGAUACGGCCCAGACUCCUACGGGAGGCAGCAGUGGGGAAUAUUGCACAAUGGGCGCAAGCCUGAUGCAGCGACGCCGCGUGGGGGAUGACGGCCUUCGGGUUGUAAACUCCUUUCGCCAGGGACGAAGCGUUUUGUGACGGUACCUGGAGAAGAAGCACCGGCUAACUACGUG